rnacentral:lncRNA from 1 species
GAGUCAUUGGUCUGACAGAGCAACCCAUGCGUCCUCUCCCAUCUGCGUGGGGGAGAGGAGCCAGCGCUGUAUUUACUGCUUGGAUUGAGUCCACAGAGCAGACCUUAGCAACCAUAUUUGGAGGGGAAGACAGAGUUGAAGCAACUUAACCAGGGUUAAAGUAGGGUCAACCUAUGGAUUCAAGGUUAGCGUAGGCUGGGCACUUGGCCAACAAGCAUAAGUUUGAUUUUCUUCAAAAUAGUAACUCCUAAUGCGAAGAGGAAGAGAGUCAGUGGCGUCUGGCUGAGGGAAGAAGGAGCCUGGCUGCACCGCUGUCUGUGGUCUGUGGCCUAGGCCAGGUACAAUUGACAGCCUCCCCACACGGAGCCACUUCUUCACGACAGGACAUCAAGCCAAUGCUGAGGAAUGCGCAGAGAAAUCUCUAGUCUCCACCACAGGAAGUUAAAAUUUGGCAGAGCACAAACCAGGACCUGGCAAGACCUGGCAGGACCAGCAAGGCUGGGCUUCCCCGGGCUCAAUGGCUAACCAGAAAGCUAAACUGGUCUCCCCUUCGGAAACCCCCUAUUCUACCCUCCCCACCUCUAUUAGGGUGCUCCCCCACCCACCCACUCCUGCCCUCCCGCCCUGGCAUUCCCCAUAGCUGUUUUCUAAGGAGCCUCAUCUUCCUGGCUG